CUAACACUUGGGAGGCUGCGACAGGAGGAUCGCUGUGAGUUCGAGACCAGCCUAGGCUUCAUAAUGUUUUUAUGUGUUACAGGUACACACCAAGGAGUGGAAAUGCAGGAACUGUAGUAAUUCGGUUUAACAUUUGAGGAACUACUGCACUGUUUUCCAAAACCAGCCACAUCAUUUUACUUUAUAUAGGAGACUGGUGAAUCCAUUGGGACCUGGACUUUUCUUAAGUGGACAUGAUGCCAUUGUCACACUCCUGAAGCGUUAUGAGACCCCAGGAUGAAAUGCCCUGUAAUGAAUAUUCUCAGCCUGGAGAAGGUGGAGUUGUGACCUUUGCGAAGCAUAUGCAUGGCUAAGCCCUCAUUUGGAACCAUCUGUUGACCGGAGCUUCCUGUCGCUGCCAUCUCCAGUUAUCGAGCCAACACCUACUGCUCCAAGUCAGAUGUGGAUACGUUUUGCUGAGAGGUGUCCAUUGUCUGCCAGCUCAGCCAUCCCUGUGUCCUUCAGCUUGUGGGCGGGCGCUUGUCAUUGCCAUUCCGUACGUCUCAGGAGGCUCUCUGUUCUCCCUCCUUCGCUACACAAGAGGGUUCUUGAUUUACAGUCUAAGUUAAUUAUUGCAGUAGAUGUUGACAAAGGCAUGGAAUAUACCUUCACAACCUGACCCAGCCAAUUACACACCAUGACUGGAAAAGGACUCUUGGACAGUGAGGCCCUCUUCACAUUCCAUCAGAGUGCGUCUUACAGCAAUGAUGACAACAUCUGUUGGCAUUCCUUUAUUGCAGCUACGCUUACUGUAUUGAACUCACUGCUUGGGACAUGCGAUCAAACAAGAUGACAAAGAUCCUUCCUCUCAUGAAACGCACAGGUCAGAAGUAGGGGUGGGAGGAGACAGACAAUGGAAUAAAGUAAUUUCAGAUCAUCAAAA
rnacentral:lncRNA from 1 species